AGCUCCACCCCCACUGGAGAAGCUUAGUCCUGAAGCAGUAGUUUCAGUCCUAUGGAAAGGGGAAGGAUCACUUGUUGAAGAGUUAGUCCGGUGCAUGGCUCCUCAUAUGGAAGAGGGCUUGCUAGAUGACUUAAAAGAGAAGAUUUGAGAGCAUGACCCUUCUGGAUCUGUAGAUCUCCAGAGAGAACUGCAGAAAUCUUUAUUAUGGUUGAAGGAUGAGGUUCGUACAUACAAGUGUCGGCAUGAUGCAGCUGCUGAUUUGAUCCACCUUUAUGCUUAUACAAAAUAUUAUUUUAGAGUUUGGGUUAGUUGAAAUUUCGUAGCAGUGUUCUCCUGUAUUUGAUUAAUAUGGAGGAACUUACAUUCUUAUAAUUACUUCUCGUAAGGAAGUUGGCAGCUAUCUUGGUUUUCCCGUUUACCGGGUGAUGUCUAUGAGGUUUCUAUCGUGCAAUGAUGCUUUGCAGCUUUCAACUGCUCAAGAAAGAAUGUGCAUAUAUGAUUUUGAAAAUCCAGAAGGCUGUUGCAAGGGGACCAUUGAAAGUAACAUAUGAAAAAUACUUGCAUCCUGAUCAAAGUAGUGUUGCAGCAAUAGAAGCAAAUGACAGGCUUCCUCCGUGACAUCAAGUCCUAUGGGAGCUCAGAUUAUGUCACAAUACGGUACAAUGAGGACAUGAAAUUCAGGAAGAUGGCAUUAGGCAGGCAGGAGUACACAAGACUUUCUUUCCCUCAUAAGAAUAUAUGGAUCUUGAGUUUAUAAGAAGAGAGAAAGUGCGAAGAAAAGUUUCACUUGCAGAUCAAAUCCGGGCUUCCAAAAGCAAAAGAGUGGAAUGUGUAGCAGUCACAAACUCUUUGGUUCAGACCCUAUUGAAUUUUUGUACAAACCAAGAAAUUAUCAAAUUGAAAAUACGAUGUAUUUGUGAUUCAAAUUGUUUGAAUGGAGAAUGUCUUUUUAAAAUUUAUUGUAAUU